rnacentral:rRNA from 1 species
UACGUAGGGUCCGAGCGUUAAUCGGAAUUACUGGGCGUAAAGCGUGCGCAGGCGGUUCGCAAAGACAGGUGUGAAAUCCCCGGGCUUAACCUGGGAACUGCGCUUGUAACUAGCGGGCUAGAGUGCGGCAGAGGGGGGUGGAAUUCCACGUGUAGCAGUGAAAUGCGUAGAUAUGUGGAGGAACACCGAUGGCGAAGGCAGCCCCCUGGGCUAGUACUGACGCUCAUGCACAAAAGCGUGGGGAGCAAACAGGAUUAGAUACCCUGGUAGUCCACGCCCUAAACGAUGGCGACUAGUUGUUGGGGGAUGAACUCCCUUAGUAACGCAGCUAACGCGUGAAGUCGCCCGCCUGGGGAGUACGGUCGCAAGAUUAAA